UGAGACCUUUUAUACAGUCUAUAAUUAAGACCAGAAGUUAACUUGAUUAUAAAUUUAAAAAGCCAGAUAAAACGAGAAGGGUCUGGCUGCAGACCAUGGGCGAGUGGAGCUCCACUCUCAAACCGGAAAUACGUCACCUCCACUUGAAAACAUCAAGAUGGCGUCGCCGGGAGUACUUCAAACUUAAACUCAGAUCAAAUGUAUAUCAAGUGUUAUCCAUCCUCAUAACACCUCCACAAAUAGAGAGUGGAACUUCUGAGCACCAUCACCUUGUCUGCUAUGGGACUGUCAUAGGAGAAUGAUGCAGUACUUUUCUGUGUUGAAUUUACCUAACGUCAGCACACAGACAUAGUAUUGUUCCAGUUUUGCUGUGCUCAUGUCUUCUUUGUGUCCCCAGCCCAGCAAUCAGAUGCAUCAGAACAACAAAGCACAACUGUGGUGGCCCAGGCACCUUCAGCAACAAGUAAAUUGCUUUAACAUUAAUGAUAAUUAAAUGUCAGUAUUGUAAUUAAACUUGACCCAUCUGACGUAAUUGUUCAUGCCAGAGAUUUAACAACACUGUCAGUCAGGAGCAUAUUUAACAGGAGGCACACUUCAGCUGGCUUGAUGGUGACUUCAGUAAGUGUGGUUGACCCUCUUGUUUUGUGGCUAUAAUAAUUAGACUAAGUAAUCUCACUCUCUUCCAUUUCCUUAACAUUACCCUUUUUUUGUUGAUACUGAACCGGUGCAGUGAAGAAAUUUAAAGAGACACUAUCUAAAGUACAGAAAGCCGUACAUAAUCUCUAGGUGCAGUCGCCUACAGUGCAGCCAGCUUCACAAAGACUGUGGGGCUGGUCACCAGGAAAAUGGGCAACAGGGAGUGCUUUUGGGGUUUUACUCCUCAGAUGACCACCCUGGCUACUGUAGCUGGGAUUGCUUCACAGACAAUGGAGGUCUUGAAGAGUAAAGUGUGCGUGCAUGUGAACACAUUGUGUUAUUACAGUAACAAUUAUGGUCACUUGCAGUUCAUGUGUUUUCAAUGUAGUGUAAGAUGUGUUAAUUAUUAUUAUUACUCAAAAACCAUUAAAACUUCUAAAUUGUGGAAGUUAUUCUUCA